GAUGAACGCUGGCGGCGUGCCUAAUACAUGCAAGUCGAGCGAACGGACGAGAAGCUUGCUUUUCUGAUGUUAGCGGCGGACGGGUGAGUAACACGUGGAUAACCUACCUAUAAGACUGGGAUAACUUCGGGAAACCGGAGCUAAUACCGGAUAAUAUUUUGAACCGCAUGGUUCAAAAGUGAAAGACGGUCUUGCUGUCACUUAUAGAUGGAUCCGCGCUGCAUUAGCUAGUUGGUAAGGUAACGGCUUACCAAGGCAACGAUGCAUAGCCGACCUGAGAGGGUGAUCGGCCACACUGGAACUGAGACACGGUCCAGACUCCUACGGGAGGCAGCAGUAGGGAAUCUUCCGCAAAGGGCGAAAGCCUGACGGAGCAACGCCGCGUGAGUGAUGAAGGUCUUCGGAUCGUAAAACUCUGUUAUUAGGGAAGAACAUAUGUGUAAGUAACUGUGUACAUCUUGACGGUACCUAAUCAGAAAGCCACGGCUAACUACGUG
rnacentral:rRNA from 1 species